AUACAUGAUAUACGCGAUAGAUUAUUAGAGUUAUGAGUU
rnacentral:guide_RNA from 1 species